GAUGAACGCUGGCGGCGUGCCUAAUACAUGCAAGUCGAGCGAACAGAUAAGGAGCUUGCUCCUUUGAAGUUAGCGGCGGACGGGUGAGUAACACGUGGGUAACCUACCUAUAAGACUGGGAUAACUUCGGGAAACCGGAGCUAAUACCGGAUAACAUUUAGAACCGCAUGGUUCUAAAGUGAAAGAUGGUUUUGCUAUCACUUAUAGAUGGACCCGCGCCGUAUUAGCUAGUUGGUAAGGUAACGGCUUACCAAGGCGACGAUACGUAGCCGACCUGAGAGGGUGAUCGGCCACACUGGAACUGAGACACGGUCCAGACUCCUACGGGAGGCAGCAGUAGGGAAUCUUCCGCAAUGGGCGAAAGCCUGACGGAGCAACGCCGCGUGAGUGAUGAAGGGUUUCGGCUCGUAAAACUCUGUUAUUAUGGAAGAACAAAUGUGUAAGUAACUGUGCACAUCUUGACGGUACCUAAUCAGAAAGCCACGGCUAACUUCGUGCCAGCUGCCGCGGUUAUACGUAUGUGGCAAGCGUUAUCCGGAAUUAUUGGGUGUAAAGCCGCGCGUAGGCGGUUUCUUAAGUCUGAUGUGAAAGCCCACGGCUCAACCGUGGAGGGUCAUUGGAAACUGGGAAACUUGAGUGCAGAAGAGGAAAGUGGAAUUCCAUGUGUAGCGGUGAAAUGCGCAGAGAUAUGGAGGAAUACCAGUGGCGAAGGCGACUUUCUGGUCUGUAACUGACGCUGAUGUGCGAAAGCGUGGGGAUCAAACAGGAUUAGAUACCCUGGUAGUCCACGCCGUAAACGAUGAGUGCUAAGUGUUAGGGGGUUUCCGCCCCUUAGUGCUGCAGCUAACGCAUUAAACACUCCGCCUGGGGAGUACGACCGCAAGGUUGAAACUCAAAGGAAUUGACGGGGACCCGCACAAGCGGUGGAGCAUGUGGUUUAAUUCGAAGCAACGCGAAGAACCUUACCAAAUCUUGACAUCCUUUGAAAACUCUAGAGAUAGAGCCUUCCCCUUCGGGGGACAAAGUGACAGGUGGUGCAUGGUUGUCGUCAGCUCGUGUCGUGAGAUGUUGGGUUAAGUCCCGCAACGAGCGCAACCCUUAAGCUUAGUUGCCAUCAUUAAGUUGGGCACUCUAGGUUGACUGCCGGUGACAAACCGGAGGAAGGUGGGGAUGACGUCAAAUCAUCAUGCCCCUUAUGAUUUGGGCUACACACGUGCUACAAUGGACAAUACAAAGGGCAGCUAAACCGCGAGGUCAUGCAAAUCCCAUAAAGUUGUUCUCAGUUCGGAUUGUAGUCUGCAACUCGACUACAUGAAGCUGGAAUCGCUAGUAAUCGUAGAUCAGCAUGCUACGGUGAAUACGUUCCCGGGUCU
rnacentral:rRNA from 1 species